UGAUGAGGUCACUGCACUGCCCAGUCUUCAAGGGGGGAUGACUCAGGAAAUAGAAGAAGACACAUCUGAGAAGGUGUUGCCAUCUUCCCACCUGAGUGUUGUGUUGCAGACGCAGCCACAGCUGUGAAAUCUCCUAGCAUUUCCUUCUUCGACUGGAACUCUGGCUGUGGAACAGAGAUCAGGAGAGUACUGGGCUUGGGGCUGCUCAUCUCCCUGGAAAAAUUUGCAGCCAAUGCAAGUGGAGAAACCAUGUCUGAGAAAGGCAAAAUAAGCCACCCCAAAAUACGCAGCUGUGAAGUGACCAGCACAGGUCUCCAUCUGCUGGCAGUGAUGUCUUUGAAUCCUGGCAGUGCCCAAGAACUAGUGGGACUGUCAUCUGUCUCUUCGGUGUCCUCCUCUGCCCUGACCUAGAGUCCACAAGCUAAAGGCACUAACGAACACCACUGGCUUACUGGUAGACUGAUGUCUCUAGAUGCUUCUGCCAAAACA
rnacentral:lncRNA from 1 species